CGAUGCCACUAUUUGAGCUAGCCCCUGCUGCUUUUCAUUGCGCACCUUGUUAUGAAACUGUUGUCACUUUUCGAGCCGCCUAACAGACUACUACAGGCCGAGGAUAUGGACUUGUUCACUGACUGCGUGAAGACACUGCGCACAGAAAACGAGUUUUGUGCACUGUGGGAUCUCUGCGCUCCUCCAGCAUCGGCCACCGAGGCUGUGCCGGCGACCGACCCCGCUCCAGGCAAGAGAAGACGCACAAUUAGCAAGAACCUCCGCGGAUUUGCAGUUGAAGAAACAGUUGGUCAGCCACAAAGUGACAUAGACGAAAAGACUGAGUUCAACACACUGUUUUACAGUGUUAUCGAUGCUGUGCAAGGAGAGAUGAAUGCGCGUUUUGGAGAGCGCAGUAGCGAGCUCAUUGGCGCACUGGCUGCUUUGAACCGAGAGGCCGAUGAUAAUUUCCUGGACCCAUCAAAGGUAACCCCUCUCCUGAUAUUAGCUGGAACUGAUGUGGUUGAAUCUGAAUAUACUGUGGCUCGUGAGUUCCUGGUGAAGAAAAUGACUGACACCCCGGUUCCCCCAGAAGAUGGAAAAUGGACAAAAUCCAACAUCCUCAGCACAUUCAACUGUGCACUCCAGGCUAUGCCGACUGUUCUCACAGCCUACACCCUUGCCCUAAGUUUAGGAGCUUCCACAGCAAUGUAUGAAAACUAUUUCAGCAUAUUUUAAUUAUUUAUAUUUUUAAUUUUCCACGCUCAAAAGCGUCUUCUCAGAGUAUCGGCGCAGUAUGCUGCACGGACGCAAGGCCCAGCUGAGUCAGCUUGCUUUUGAAGAGGACCUCACUCACAAAUUUAGGUCCGAGUGAUUUGAUGAGGAGGUUCUGCUCGGAGAAACGCCGCCUCCCGCUGUACUGACAGAAGGGACUGGAGAGAGGACAGUGCUGCCGCCACUCAAAGUACCGUCUUUCACAGGUGGCUGGCUUGAAGAUUUGAAUCCAUGUGGGACAGGGACAGCACACCAAGAAGAGGAUGGAUCGUGCAACUAAAGAAAUCUGUAAAUUUUACUUCUAUUUUUGUUUAUUUACAAAAUAUCUCUAUUCAUAUUAGUAGUUAACUUUACCUGAACUCUGGUAAGUUUUCACAGUAUAUAGUAGUUUUGCUUCAAAUAGCUUUAAUGCUAAACAAAGAUUUUUUUUAAAUGUAAAGUUGUGUUAGGGGAGAAUAUUUUGUGUUCAGUAUCUUAAUGUAAAUUUACAUAUCUUUCACGAGGUUGAGUUGAUGCUAGUUAACGUUUUUUUUUUACCCCUCUUGAGACCUAUUUCCAUGUGAUGCUGUGAUGUUUCGAGGGUAGGUCUGGAAUUCCGCUAGUUCUGAACUAUUCGUGUUUGGUAAAAGUUCACUACUAGCAGAACUCGGAUUUGCUCCCGACUACCAACAGGAAUCUCCAUUACAACCAUGACCACGGGACCAGUGGUUUAUACACUCGCCAGUUGAAUAGCAGGUUGUCUACUUGUCUAGUGACUAUUAAUGAUUACACUGGUGUGAAGUGAACAGAGUCCACCUUUGCUACUAGUAUGGUCUUGUGUUCACUUCACAUCAGGUAAUAAUCCUAGUCUCAGAUUUGCUUGCCUUUGUUGUUGAGGAUGUUUUAAUAACCAGAAUAUUAUUGUUUCCCCUUUCCCCAGCAACACAGAUUACCCAUGAUGGCCUAAAGCCAAGAGGAAAUGGUUUCACUGGUAUUUCCAAGUGUUGAUUUUACUGAUUUCCAUCCUUUCUCAGCAGCAUGACACACAGAAAACAUAUAACCACAUGGUUAAUUUUAAUAUUCAAUUGUUGAAACAAUUGUUGUUCCAGCAUAGCUUCAUAUGUUCAGAUUUAUUGUAUGAAUUGUAUGUGUGUCUUUAAGCCCUUUCCAUGAUGCACAUACAGGUAACAGCUGGUACAGUGCAGAGGACGUAUUUUCUGUGACAUGGUUUUGACGGCUAUUUUUCACAUAAAUAGGUGAGUGUAAACUGUGCGUUUCAGACUAAGAUCACCCCUCUUCCCCUUUAUUGUGUAGGGGAUUGCCUUUUUGCCAUUUUUUUUCUUUAACAGCACAGGGAGCAUCUAUGCCAAGGUGAAUCCUAUUUAGCUAACCCUCUUAAGCUUAUCAUGUUAAAGUAUUUAAAAACAACAGUUACAAGUGCAUGUAACUACUUUAUAGGACAAGUGUGUAAGAGUUAGUGGCAAAGUGCUCAUUCUUAAUGAAUAAUAAGUCUUGUUUACAGGUAAUUAUAGAUUAAUGAAAACAUUGUAUUCCAUUUCUGCCAAUAUAUCCCCCUAAGUCUUACAUACUGGUCCUUUAAAUUGUGAUUGAUUAUGAUAACGAUGCAUUUUAUUGCUGUAGUAAUUAUUGUCAUGUUGGGAAUUGGUCCCAAAUUGAAAAUUAUUCUUGUUUGCAUUGUAUGCAAAGAUGUGUGUAUUCGUCUGCCAAGUAAUCCUUUAAACUCUCUACGGUAAAGCAGUAAAGUCUCUGCUUGGUGAGUAAACGAGUGAAUCACACACCUGCUGGAGGUAAAAAAGGCUGACAGACUGGAUUUAAUCUGAGUCUGGCUGUGUGUUUCCAUCAGACAGCUGACCUCAAGUCCAAAAUAAUGACAUAUAUAUAAAAAAUAAAAUAAUAUAUUAUGAGAAACUACACCCCUUGGCAGUUUUGUUAAGUGACUUCCUCAGCUGUACUGUUACAGUAUGUACACAUGGUAACUGAUGUGAAUAAGACUUGUUUAUUUUGAAGUAUGGUGCCAUCUGUAGGCUGAAUUUAAGACUACUCUACCACAAUGUAUUUUGAAUAUAUUUGAAUUAAAGAUGCUGAAUAAUGGUGACUACUCCAGGUGGACAGAUGGGCUUCAAAUAGGCGAGAGGAGCAGAUGCACACUCUCAUAAUGGAAUUUUGUUUAACCAUAUACAGUAUAUAUAAAUUGAUGGUUAGAUAAAGACCUGCUAUGAGUGUUUGCUUGGUGCAAUGUAGCCAACAGUGUGUUAAUGAUCUCAUCACUUAUCUCCAUCAAACCUGGUGUUGUCAAGCCUGAAAGAGGACAUUUACAAAAUUGUUUUUGUAUACUAACACCCACAAAUGGUAAAAUAUUUUGUAUAUUAUGUUUUCCUCAUGUACUUGGAUGUGAUGCUGUUACUUGUCUUCAAAAUAAAUGUUACCACAUAUUUUCUUAG